AACGCUGGCGGCGUGCCUAAUACAUGCAAGUCGAACGAGUUCUCGUUGAUGAUCGGUGCUUGCACCGAGAUUCAACAUGGAACGAGUGGCGGACGGGUGAGUAACACGUGGGUAACCUGCCCUUAAGUGGGGGAUAACAUUUGGAAACAGAUGCUAAUACCGCAUAGAUCCAAGAACCGCAUGGUUCUUGGCUGAAAGAUGGCGUAAGCUAUCGCUUUUGGAUGGACCCGCGGCGUAUUAGCUAGUUGGUGAGGUAAUGGCUCACCAAGGCGAUGAUACGUAGCCGAACUGAGAGGUUGAUCGGCCACAUUGGGACUGAGACACGGCCCAAACUCCUACGGGAGGCAGCAGUAGGGAAUCUUCCACAAUGGACGCAAGUCUGAUGGAGCAACGCCGCGUGAGUGAAGAAGGCUUUCGGGUCGUAAAACUCUGUUGUUGGAGAAGAAUGGUCGGCAGAGUAACUGUUGUCGGCGUGACGGUAUCCAACCAGAAAGCCACGGCUAACUACGUGCCAGCAGCCGCGGUAAUACGUAGGUGGCAAGCGUUAUCCGGAUUUAUUGGGCGUAAAGCGAGCGCAGGCGGUUUUUUAAGUCUGAUGUGAAAGCCCUCGGCUUAACCGAGGAAGCGCAUCGGAAACUGGGAAACUUGAGUGCAGAAGAGGACAGUGGAACUCCAUGUGUAGCGGUGAAAUGCGUAGAUAUAUGGAAGAACACCAGUGGCGAAGGCGGCUGUCUGGUCUGUAACUGACGCUGAGGCUCGAAAGCAUGGGUAGCGAACAGGAUUAGAUACCCUGGUAGUCCAUGCCGUAAACGAUGAAUGCUAGGUGUUGGAGGGUUUCCGCCCUUCAGUGCCGCAGCUAACGCAUUAAGCAUUCCGCCUGGGGAGUACGACCGCAAGGUUGAAACUCAAAGGAAUUGACGGGGGCCCGCACAAGCGGUGGAGCAUGUGGUUUAAUUCGAAGCAACGCGAAGAACCUUACCAGGUCUUGACAUCUUUUGAUCACCUGAGAGAUCAGGUUUCCCCUUCGGGGGCAAAAUGACAGGUGGUGCAUGGUUGUCGUCAGCUCGUGUCGUGAGAUGUUGGGUUAAGUCCCGCAACGAGCGCAACCCUUAUGACUAGUUGCCAGCAUUUAGUUGGGCACUCUAGUAAGACUGCCGGUGACAAACCGGAGGAAGGUGGGGAUGACGUCAAAUCAUCAUGCCCCUUAUGACCUGGGCUACACACGUGCUACAAUGGAUGGUACAACGAGUUGCGAGACCGCGAGGUCAAGCUAAUCUCUUAAAGCCAUUCUCAGUUCGGACUGUAGGCUGCAACUCGCCUACACGAAGUCGGAAUCGCUAGUAAUCGCGGAUCAGCACGCCGCGGUGAAUACGUUCCCGGGCCUUGUACACACCGCCCGUCACACCAUGAGAGUUUGUAACACCCGAAGCCGGUGGCGUAACCCUUUUAGGGAGCGAGCCGUCUAAGGUGGGACAAAUGAUUAGGGUGAAGUCGA
rnacentral:rRNA from 2 species